GGUGGUUCAGUGGUAGAGUGCUUGCCUUGCAUGCAUGAGGCCCUGGGUUUGAUUCCCCAGCACCA
rnacentral:tRNA from 1 species